UACGGGGGGGGCAAGCGUUGUUCGGAAUUACUGGGCGUAAAGGGCGUGUAGGCGGCCAACUAAGUCCGACGUGAAAUCCCCAGGCUUAACCUGGGAACUGCGUCGGAUACUGGAUGGCUUGAAUUCGGGAGAGGGAUGCAGAAUUCCAGGUGUAGCGGUGAAAUGCGUAGAUAUCUGGAGGAAUACCGGUGGCGAAGGCGGCAUCCUGGACCGACAUUGACGCUGAAGCGCGAAAGCUAAGGGGA
rnacentral:rRNA from 1 species